GACGAACGCUGGCGGCGUGCCUAAUACAUGCAAGUAGAACGCUGAAGGAGGAGCUUGCUUCUCUGGAUGAGUUGCGAACGGGUGAGUAACGCGUAGGUAACCUGCCUGGUAGCGGGGGAUAACUAUUGGAAACGAUAGCUAAUACCGCAUAAUAGUAGAUGUCGCAUGACAUUUGCUUAAAAGGUGCAAUUGCAUCACUACCAGAUGGACCUGCGUUGUAUUAGCUAGUUGGUGAGGUAACGGCUCACCAAGGCAACGAUACAUAGCCGACCUGAGAGGGUGAUCGGCCACACUGGGACUGAGACACGGCCCAGACUCCUACGGGAGGCAGCAGUAGGGAAUCUUCGGCAAUGGACGGAAGUCUGACCGAGCAACGCCGCGUGAGUGAAGAAGGUUUUCGGAUCGUAAAGCUCUGUUGUAAGAGAAGAACGAGUGUGAGAGUGGAAAGUUCACACUGUGACGGUAUCUUACCAGAAAGGGACGGCUAACUACGUG
rnacentral:rRNA from 1 species